rnacentral:rRNA from 1 species
GACGAACGCUGGCGGCGUGCUUAACACAUGCAAGUCGAACGGAAAGGCCCUGCUUUUGUGGGGUGCUCGAGUGGCGAACGGGUGAGUAACACGUGAGUAACCGGCCCUUGACUUUGGGAUAACUUCAGGAAACUGGGGCUAAUACCGGAUAGGAGCUCCUGCUGCAUGGUGGGGGUUGGAAAGUUUCGGCGGUUGGGGAUGGACUCGCGGCUUAUCAGCUUGUUGGUGGGGGAGUGGCUUACCAAGGCUUUGACGGGUAGCCGGCCUGAGAGGGUGACCGGCCACAUUGGGACUGAGAUACGGCCCAGACUCCUACGGGGGGCAGCAGUGGGGAAUAUUGCACAAUGGACGGAAGCCUGAGGCAGCCACGCCGCGUGCGGGAAGACGGCCUUUGGGUUGUAAACCGCUUUCGCCUGUGACGAAGCGUGAGUGACGGUAAUGGGUAAAGAAGCACCGGCUAACUACGUG